rnacentral:rRNA from 1 species
AACCUCUGCAAUAGGCGAAAGCUUGACAGGGUUACUCUGAGUGAUUUCCGUUAAGGAGAUCUUUUGGCACCUCUAAAAAUGGUGCAGAAUAAGGGGUGGGCAAGUCUGGUGUCAGCCGCCGCGGUAAUACCAGCACCCCGAGUGGUCGGGACGUUUAUUGGGCCUAAAGCAUCCGUAGCCGGUUCUACAAGUCUUCCGUUAAAUCCACCUGCUCAACAGAUGGGCUGCGGAAGAUACUAUGGAGCUAGGAGGCGGGAGAGGCAAGCGGUACUCGAUGGGUAGGGGUAAAAUCCGUUGAUCCAUUGAAGACCACCAGUGGCGAAGGCGGCUUGCCAGAACGCGCUCGACGGUGAGGGAUGAAAGCUGGGGGAGCAAACCGGAUUAGAUACCCGGGUAGUCCCAGCUGUAAACGAUGCAGACUCGGUGAUGAGUUGGCUUUAUGCCAACUCAGUGCCGCAGGGAAGCCGUUAAGUUGCCGCCUGGGGAGUACGUCGCAGGAAUUUC